UACGUAGGGGGCUAGCGUUGUCCGGAAUCAUUGGGCGUAAAGCGCGCGUAGGCGGCCAGAUAAGUCCGGUGUGAAAGUCACAGGCUCAACCUGUGAAUGCCGCUGGAAACUGUCUGGCUCGAGUCCGGGAGGGGCGAGUGGAAUUCCUGGUGUAGCGGUGAAAUGCGCAGAUAUCAGGAGGAACACCAAUGGCGAAGGCAGCUCGCUGGAACGGUACUGACGCUGAGGCGCGAAAAGCGUGGGGAGCGAACAGG
rnacentral:rRNA from 1 species